AAAAUCCCGUUCGAGCAACCUCUACGGGAGCCCACGUGUAUUGUUGAAACCCAGGGAGAGGAGGAAGGGGGAGUUUCGCUCUCGAGGCAUAGCGGCCGGAGGGGGAGGCUAGGUUAGGGUUUCUAUGGAAAACGGGAGAAGAGAACGCGCCGGGAAAGCGAUGGUACCGCCGCCUCCCCCUCCUGUUCUUCCUACGAUUAAGGCAACCUCCGCCGCCGCCGCUCUUGUGGGACCUCAGCCGCCUCCUCCGCUAAGACGUCCGCCAUCCCGUUCUCGGGCCAGUUCUUAACCUCCCGCUCCGCCUCCUCUCGCGUCUAGCUCUCCCCUUGCCGCUGCUGCGACCCUUCCUUCUAUCACCCACAUUUCUAGACCAGGACCAUCUCCUGGGACAGGACCAGCUCCUAGGUCUCCUUCGCCAUCGUUGACGUCGUAAAGUCCUUCUUUACUCUCGCGAAAACCGCAGACAGGGACUUCCACGGCCCCGUAGUAAAUGACGCUACGUCGACGUCCUCGAUCUCGUCGUCAGAGCCCAUAUGGUCAUAUACCGACGGGCACACGGACACGGAUGGGUAGAGCAGAAGGGGUAGACCUUCUCACAAUGGCCACGUAGGAGACUUCCGCGCGUCUUAAUGGGAUGUAACUACCCUAACCGUUGUGAGACGAACCUGAAACCCUUCUCGGGUCUUGGUCUUGGUCCUUCCACGGCCGCUUGUCUACCUUUUUUCACCGCCACGACCUCUUUUUGUUAGGGUUUGCUCUUUAUAACACUUGCGGUAUACGUGGCACCAGCGUUCGCAGGACAUGUCCAAUAACAACUCCUACUGCUCGGACUAAGGCGUAGUCCCAGUUUUAGUAGUAGACCGUUUCAGUGACUUCCUCCGUUCUUCUGACUGCUGUUCUCAAGUUCAUCGUUCUUCGAACGUCACCGUCGUGGUCGACGACACCUCAAAUGUACUAACUACUACAUCGUAAACCUUCGACGUUCUUCUCGCAUUGCCGGUACCGUUAAUCUGAUGGCAAUAACAUUAGGAGUUUUCUGAAAUCACAACAGAUCGAUAUUGGAGUAAUUCGUUCGUUUUACAGAACAGCCUUCUUCGGUGUUUUUGGGGACAAAUCGACAGUGACUUAAAAAGUCAAAUCCACAUAUCAAACUUAAUCGAACCAGCACGGAAGCCGGAAAUCCGUCCACUACGCCGUAUUAACCUAUUCAGAAGGGAGUAACUAUUCAGCGUAACACUGAGUUCUUUGACCACCUACUUAGACGUCUCUCAUCUAUGAUAAACCACACACGAAAAUAACCGGAAGUGUUAACACAACAAACAGUCAACGUAUUGUUAACCUUCUAGUUAUAUUAAAAUCUGGGAUACCUCUAAGUCAAUGCUCUGAUGUACAGAAAUUAAAGUUGUACGAUAAACAAUUACGUUCAAGAUUGUUGGACUCCGCGAGACUAUACUAAACUUACGCACACAC
rnacentral:rRNA from 1 species